UGGCUCAGGACGAACGCUAGCGACAGGCUAACACAUGCAAGUCGAGGGGCAGCAUAGAAGUAGCAAUACUUGGUGGCGACCGGCGCACGGGUGAGUAACGCGUAUGCAACCUACCUAUCAGAGGGGAAUAACCCGGCGAAAGUCGGACUAAUACCGCAUAAAACAGGGGCACCGCAUGGUGAUAUUUGUUAAAGAAAUUCGCUGAUAGAUGGGCAUGCGUUCCAUUAGGUAGUUGGUGAGGUAACGGCUCACCAAGCCGACGAUGGAUAGGGGAACUGAGAGGUUGGUCCCCCACACUGGUACUGAGACACGGACCAGACUCCUACGGGAGGCAGCAGUGAGGAAUAUUGGUCAAUGGGCGGGAGCCUGAACCAGCCAAGUCGCGUGAAGGAAGAAGGAUCUAUGGUUCGUAAACUUCUUUUGCAGGGGAAUAAAGUGCAGGACGUGUCCUGUUUUGUAUGUACCCUGAGAAUAAGGAUCGGCUAACUCCGUGCCAGCCGCCGC
rnacentral:rRNA from 1 species